AUCACAUUUACAUCGAUUUUACGUCAAUUACAAGAUAGAGGACAAUUCGUCGUAUUAUCGAUGCAAAUAUUACGACAACAUUACGACGAAAUAAAAUUCGUUCUUUAUUCGUCGUAAUAUUGUCGUAACAUUACAACGAUUUUACAAGGCUUAUUUUUUACGUCGAAUUUACGACGAAAUUUUUGAUCGUCGUAAAUAC
rnacentral:lncRNA from 1 species